rnacentral:misc_RNA from 1 species
GGGCGCUGUUCACUUUUAGGGUAUUUGCUAGAGAGAGAGAAAAAAAAACUUUACGUGAGAGAAUAUCCUCCAGCAGGAAAUCAUGCAAACAUAUCUUUUUCCUUUUGUUUUGAAAAAAAAGAACCACUCGAAAACUUGCCUUUGGGCUGCACGAAUUCACUAUCUUUGAGCGUUUCUUUUUGGCUUUGGGGCAUGUCUUCCUGCAGGUAUAUCACGUGAGCUAGUUGAGCGCGUUGAUUGGCUAACCGUAAUAUUUAUUACUUUGCGCGAAGAUAUGUGUAGAAAUGGUGCGAGUGAGACGAAGUGCCCAGACACAAGGAUAAGAUUUGAGACUGGGAAAGCAAAUACUGGGCAAGGACAUUGUAGACAGCGGGGGUGCAGCAUGGUAAACAAGCAAGGUUAAAGUCUGUCAGCUUUCAUCAUGGGUCUCCGCUUACUGGUGUGCAAAACCUUAAAGCAGCCUUAGAUUUGGAAAUUGGAUCUGCCUGAUGGAUUUUUCUAGGACACCCAAUGGAAUAAUUGAACAUUUUGUGAAGACGGGAGUUCUUUUUUUAAAUACUAGAGACAGAUGAGUUUCUACCCGGCCUGUGCCUUGUCACCUAAUCAUAGCGAUGAAAAUAAUCAUAUUGCUGAAUGUUAAAUCAUUGAUGCUCACAAUCCACAAACUUGAAAACAGAACUGAAGGUCAGUGUUUGUCUGGCCAGUACUGACCAUCCCCACUGGGCCCUGUUAAUGACCACCACAGCCUUGAAGCUUUGAAGCCCUGCAGGGCAGCUUGAAAGAAACUGUGGAGAGGUUCAACACCAUCUAUCUCUCGUCUGUGGGAUUUGUACUAGUACUGCAGCAGGUCAGAGUGUGGUUGACGCAAGGUGCUUAAGUGAACAGCAUUGGAUUGCCAGUACGUUCUAUGAGUCAUAGUUAACUGGAACAAGUUGAAGUACGUGUAAUUUAAUUUGAGGCCUGCUGCAUCACUGAGACUAUAACAUUCCCGAAAGAAGAGCAGUCACAAGGAAGCCCUUUGUCAUCAGGUGAGGGCUGCCAGUACUUCUCCUAGAUCAACUUUGAUCGUGUACGUUUACCCUGCAGCUCAUGCCAGUGAUGCGGCCUGUUUUAUGUGGAGCAACAAAUAUCGUGGACCCUAACACUCCCUUACAGGGGUUAGAGUCCGGGGGCGAGGACAACACCAUGCAGAAGAUUCUUCGGUCUCCUGUGACCAUGAAGAAGAAGAUCAACAGCAAGACCUUUGGUGUCCCCCUGAAAGAGCUGGCUAGAGGCCCUACGGGAGUCAGGGUACCAGUCUUCAUCAAGAAGAUAUGCGAGUUCAUUCAAAUGCAUGGUAUCGGGCACGAGGGAAUCUUCCGCAUCAACGGUAGCACCCGGGUGGUGGAUAAGAUGAAGGCCAUGAUUGACAAGAUGGGGGAUGCAGAUUUGGAGGAAGCGGGAGACGUGAUGGCCGUAGCGAGUCUCCUCAAGCUCUUCCUCAGGGAAUUACCGGAUCCCAUCAUGACUGAAGCAUUGCAUCUUAAGUUCAUUAAUACCCAACUAGCCAAUCAAUCCAAUCCUGAUGAUUGCAUCAAGCAGCUCAAGGCUCUCUUACAGCAGCUUCCUGAGGAGCAUUACAUUGUCUUGCGUUACCUGAUCCGAUUCUUGGUCAUGGUAUCGCAAUAUGAAAACACCAAUAAGAUGAACUCCAUGGCAUUGGCCAUUGUGUUUGGCCCAAACCUCUUCAGGUGUAGCGCAGGACUGGAUGGCCUACGAGAGCAAGGCAUCACAAACAUCAUUGUCCGGAUGUUGAUCGACGACUACGAGGCCAUCUUCAAGAAUGAAGAGAAGGAGGAGAUUUCCCCUCCCCCUGCCCAGCCACCAGGGUCAAAGUGCAUCCAGGUGCAGUCAACGACCUCUAAGAAGUCACCUCCAGUCAAACCAAUGCCUUAUCAAGACUACAUCAGACAGAAGGAAGCUAAAAAGAAGAAGGAUUCUGAUGAGCAGCGGGACUACAACAGUAACUCAUACACCGAUACCAACAGGGAAGAAAUGAAGAAAGUUGAGGAUUGUCGAGAUUGUGAUUCACCAGCAGGUGGUCUUCUCAGCCCGAGGGAUGUUGGUGUUGAAGAAAGAGCCUUCUCUCCUUUCAACUUAGAUAGUGAGACGGGAACCAGUACAGCGCCCUCACCUGUCAUAAAUGAUAUAACGUCAGAGCUUGUGGAAAAGACCAUUCAGGAGACUGUCUCAGAGCAUCUGUUUGGUCAGAGCCCUUCACCGGACAGAGAGGAAACCCUCACUACACCAUCACCAGAAGUGCCAGUGCCUUCACCACGACGGAGAUGGCAGAAGAGACAAGAACAAGACAGAGAGAAUAAAGACACCAAUAAUGGCGUCGAUUCCCCUGACGGUCAAAGCACGUCUUCUGUCGAGGAGAUCUGCCCCUCAAUCCAAGACCGUAUCCGAUCAUUUUCUUCCUCGGCUCCUGAUAACAAAUCCCCUGAGAGCUCACCUAAAGUCAAGCGGAAACAUCAGCCAUCUUCAAAAGCAUUUGAAGUGUUUGAAACUCAGGGAAUAGUAAUUGGUCCCGGACCGAGUGAAGUUUUUGUGACAAAAAAGAAACAGAGCACUUCUUCAGCAAUUCCUCUCAUAAUUGACGACCCCAGGAGGGACCAAACCAACAGUUGCAGCCCGCUGUCAAGGAAAAAAGCCCCUGAGCCCCCCACGCGGCCCUCACGGGGGAAGGCCCACCUACUCAAGUCCAAGGGUCAGGAGAAAAGGCCGCAAGAGUCGGGGUCACCAGGGUCAGUCUCUGGAUCACCGAGGUCCAAGUCGCCGAGGUCAUACUCCCCAAGGUCCAAUUCCCCGAGGUCAAUCUCGCCCAAGUCCAAUUCGCCACGAUCAAAUUCACCCAAAACGUAUUCACCCAAUUCGGAUUCCCCCAAGUCAAGGUCACCCAGGUCUAAAUCUCCAAAGUCUCAAUCGCCAAAACCGAUGUCUGUACGCAACAACAGAUUGUCCGUGAAGGACGGUUCUUCCUGUCAGCCGUCAGGCAAUCCUCAGGAUUCAGAAAUCCAUGCAGAUUUCGACAGUCUCCCCUGCAACUCCCCGACACUGAAAUCGUUGACAGCAGGAAGAAUUGCACCUCCCAAAAACAGAAGGUCCCCCUCAAACAGGAGGAGUAAGAUACCUCAAUCGGAGCCGACAAGACGAAAUGUGACUGGUGCCCGGCCGUACACUGAGCCAUUAUCCAUCAUCAUACCGGGGAGUGAACCCAUGGCAGAGGGCUUGGGCCUACCCCAGGAGGCGCCCCAGCCUAAACCCCGCAGGAAACACUCCGGUGUUGAGGCCGUGUCUAUGGGAGCAGAGCCAAGCCAGGGUCUGUCGGGGGAGCUGGAGACGCUGAUGAACGGGGGGCAGGAUGCGGCCAAAUCGCCACCCAAAUCACCGCAGCGACGCGAGCAUGCUGUCCCCCCGCUGAACCUUACCAGCUUGCACGAACAUGCAGACGGUGAAGAGCCUAUACCAGCAUGGAAAGCAAGACAUCAUUUCCAUGACAAUAACCAAGAAGCCAUGCUCUCUCCACGCUCGCUCAAACUACAAACCAUUACUCAUCUGAGUGACCAGCUGGAGGCCCCAUUGUCUCCUAGAGCAAGAAACACACCACUCAACUUCCCCAGUGUGUCACAUGACACGGACGUCCCACCAUCCCCUCCUUCGUCACAGCCAAUUCUGACCUGUGUGUCCAAAAGAACUGAUAAACUUCCUGAGGAGACCGAUACAAUGAGCAUCAAACAGCUUACCAAGCAGAUCAGAACCCUGAAGAGGAAGAUACGACAGUAUGAAGAGGAGUUUGAAGAUCAGCAUGGAUACAAGCCUUCCCACCUUCACAAGACAUCCCAACCCCAAAUUAAGAAAAUGAUGGGAGAAUUGAAGAAAGCCAGCAAACAACUUAAAGAAGCCAAAGAAAAUGCGGCAAAGGCCAAAGUGCCCUUGUCCAACACCCUGCCGGCCAAGAUGAUCAGCCGGAAUCUGACUAAACAGUUUGAAGAAGCCACAACACUGACCAACAUGGAGAUUGCUCUGAGGGAGGCGGAAACCAGACUACAAGAAAAGAGAGACGAAGCCGAUAGACCUGAGGAUAUACUUAUAAUGAACAAGGAACAAGUGCAAGAAGAGAAGACAGCGAUACAGAAAGCAUUGUUACAAAUGGAGAACAAAUUUGGAAGGCCGAGUACCAAAGAAACUAAAGAGUUGAUGAAGCCGUUGUACGAUCGCUACAGGAACGUCAAGAAGCUGUUAGUCAAGCUGGAACUCCGACAACCAGAGGAUGGCCAGUCCUCGUCCCUGGAUCUACAAACAAUCAAAGAGCACGAAGAAACGAAAGAAUUCCAACCCAAGCAAAUGGGCCAAUUUCACAAUCUUUACACCGAAGCAGAAGAAGCUGAAGAGGAAGAGAUGCCAGCCACAGACUUAGCCGUCACUCAGGAGAUCCGGGGUGUCCUCAGCAACAUGGACCUGGAAGACAGCUACCCGAGCCCAGCCGACAGCCGGCGCAGUAGCAGCGGCGGCAGGGAGGAGCCUACACCCGCCUCAGACGUCACCUCCAACCUCCAUGAGGCAUCACUAAGCGAACUCCUGGCCAUGCAGAACCAAUCCAGAGAAGACAAGAAGAGACUACGUAAGAUGCUGAAAGAGUUUGAGGACAACUUCUUCAAGGAGUCAGGGCGCACUGUGCAGAAGGAAGACAGGGUUCCCAUGGAAACGCAGUAUAACGAGUAUAAGCGAGUCAAGGCUAACCUUCGGCUCCUUGAAGCCUUAUUGUCCAAGCGCAUAGAGUACACAUAGUGGUCGUGGUGUUAAAGUGACUGUGUUUGUAGUUUCCCAGUUCUUUGCUUCUUGUGCAUGUCAAGAAGCAUCUUAAGCUGCUCGAAGCGCUGGUCGCCAAACAUCGAGUCCAGGCCUCCUCUCUACCGGAAGAACUGGUUCUCGC